UGGUACUGCAGGGCGGUCGAGAAAAUAUUUGGUUGAUAAGACUUUUUUUUUUUUUUUUCCCAUAAAUUUAAAUUGAAAGAAUUGUAUUUAUUGUUGAUGGAGAAGAUGUUAUCUUUCACUCUGCAACACACAUCUUCAGCUACCCACAGGAGCUCUCUCAAGCUGGACACCGGUUCAUUCACAACACCUUUCAUGCAAAUACGAUGGCACAGGCACUAGCCAAUCAGAUCGCGUUUAUAGAAAAGUUUCCCGGGGACUUCCGGUUUACUUCCUGUUUCUGCCAAGAACUUCCAGCACAGGCUGAGUAGUGGUGUAAAAAUGGCUUUGGAAUGGCAACAUUCGACCGAAAAUCUUGUUAAAAAUGGUGUUUUGACCAUUCCGCAUCCAAGUAAGGUAACAUCAUGGCCGGACAACAUGUCGAUAUGGCCCAGCAUCACAACAUCAAGAUCUUUUCUUAUUUUAUUGAUUCCAUGGCGGUGGAUGGGAAUGCAAUUAAUAACCUAAGAAAGCUCAGAGGCGUUUCAGUACCUCCAUUCCGACAAAGUGGGCUGUGUACUUUUACACGAUAUGGGCAUAUAACGGCUGAUGUUCAACCAAGCCAGUCUGUUAACAAUUCAGCGCGUAACGCCUGGGUUUUGGUUACCAAGACGGGAGAUGUGGAGACUGCAGGCUGUACCUGUAGCCAUGCAGCCGCCGUGCUUUGGAAGGUCUCCAUUUCGCCUUAAACGACGUGCGUUCAGCUCCAGCUUCUCCGCCAGACUCUCUGCCCGUGCUGUCGCCGGAUCUCCCCUUCUUAAGGAAGAACCUAGAGACAUCGUUAAUUCCACCUGAGGCCAAUAUGCCUGCUCCGUCCCCUCUGCAGCUGCGCCAAACCACCUAUUACAAUAAAAUCACCACGCCACUUUACAGUGUUUACCAACUCUUCGCCUUUGACCUGGGCCCGGUUUGUCGUACAUGGUUCAACUAAGUCGAUCAAAUGUCCCAUUAUCCAGCUCAAAUUACCGAGAUGAUUGACAUCGGGCUAUCUCGGUUCCUCGAAGGCGGAUCGGUACUCAGUCUAGUUAGUUUGACCGCAAGAACAGGAGUACGCAGGAUGACAUCUCCACGGCAUUACACUCCGCCCUUUCUCACCUGGACAAUAACAGCUAUGUGAGGAUGCUGUUCAUAGACUUGAGGAUGCUGUUCAUAGACUUCAGUUCAGCUUUCAACACUGUCAUCCCCUCCAAACUAAUCACGAAACUCAGUCACCUGGGUAUCAACACUUACCUCCGUAACUGGAUACUGGACUUCCUAUCCAACAGACCCCAGUCUGUUGGGGUAGAGAACCACACCUCCUCAACCCUCAUCCUGAACACCGGCGUGCCACAGGGCUGUGUGCUAAGUCCUGUCCUCCCUCUUCACCUACGACUGCACACCUGUACACGGUUCUAAUACCAUUGUCAAGUUUGCAGACGACACAACGGUGAUUGGCCUCAUCAGUGACAGCAGGUUCAGGAACAGCUUCAUCCCUGCGGCUGUCACUCUACUGAACUCUGCCCCCCACACACAUCUCCCUCAGUGACUGUACAUCCCCCCUCCACCCUGGCUUGACUGCCACACACCCUCCUCCAGCCACUGAACAUUUGCACUGUUAUUACAUAUACAUUUCUUACUGUUCAUAUUGCAUAACUAUUUCUUACUGUACAUAUCUAUUUAUUCACUUAUUACACUUUACAUAUGCACAUACUCUGCUAUUUU
ensembl:lncRNA